GCAGACCCCGGCGCGGCCUAUGCCCAAGUCCGGUGUGGAGGGUGAAGCAUCCGGGCUCUUCCCCGCGUGCCGGCGCGGCCUAGGCCCAAGCCCGGGGUCGAGGGCGAAGCAUCCGGGUACUUCCCCGCGGGCUGGCUAGGCGUCGCAGCCCCUGGCGCAGCCUGGGCCCAAGCCCAGCGGCGGCUUAGAGGGCAAAGCAUCCGGGCCCUUCCCGGUGGGCUGGCGUCGCGGCUCCCGGAUGGCUGGCAUGGGUGUGGGCCCCAGCCUUUCGGUGUCUCAGGAGUGAACGCAAAAUGAAGAACAGACUUGGAAAGGUGUUAACAGCAGUAGUGAUCUCACAUGAUUGCACCUAAUUGAUGGGUCCUGAUUCUAGAACUUUUGCUGCAAGUGAGUAUAGGU